UCUAUCCAUUCCACACUCACUUAAAGGUGUAAGAAGGUCACUAACGAAGCUCGGUGCAAGCGGAUUUUGAAGGACCUUCUUCGUUUGCUAUUAACCACCACUUUUCUUCACUUGAACUCCCCUAGCCUUAAGCUAGUGAUGGAAUCAUGAUAUACUUGUGUCACGACGCAUUAUAAGCAAAUCCGGUGAAGUUUACGACGCAAGGAACGCAAAGUUGUGAGUUC
rnacentral:lncRNA from 1 species